UCCAGACGUGUCCAGUGACCACAACCACAACCACAACUACAACCACCACCACCAUCACCAUCCGUCCACAGAGCAGGUGACGGUCCCAUCCGGCGGCGCGGGGCUGACCGGAUCCGCCGUCGUCAUGGUAACGACGUGGCUCCACACGCUCUUCCUGGCGCCGUAACGGUUCGACUCGGACCUGGAGACUUCAUUCUGAUGUAUUUAUCAGAAAAGGACAAACUUUCAGGGCGCGACAGCAGAAAGACACAAAGAGAACAAAGGAGGUGUGCCAGAAUAGGUUUGGCAAAAUAUUUUUUUUAUUCAACUCCAAACUGCGGCUUUUCGGUGAGUAGUAGGUGACCUUGGUCCUGGUGCAGGGUUCUUGGUGAGUAGUAGGUGACCUUGGUCCGGGUGCAGGGUUCUUGGCGGACAUGCUGGUUGAUCGUCUGGGAACAACCCGCUCAUGACUAUUUUUAUUUUGUAUCAACAACUUUGGCUUUUGAAGCCUGAUUUAAGUCAACAGUGACUAAAAUUUAUUUUAUAAACGCAUUCAUUUCGUACUUUUGCUCAGAAAUGUCUGCACAAAAUAAUCUACUGUAACUUUUAGAGGGGCCAAAGUGUUAGGAUAUUUUUAUUUUUUAUGACUACAUUGUUUUGUAAAAUAACUUGAAUUAAUAUAUGGUUGGAAAACAAUUUACAGCAAAAAAUGCUAUAAAGUGGUCAUAUUAUGAUUUUCAAUUGCAUGUAAAAUAGAAGUUCUUGUCAACACUCAAAUAUUACACUGAAUUAGAAAUUGUACUCUUAAUUUUAUUGUAUUCAAUAUGUUUUUUAUGAUAAUAAAUUAAUACAUUUUUCAAGAAA